rnacentral:rRNA from 1 species
GACGAACGCUGGCGGCGUGCCUAAUACAUGCAAGUCGAGCGGGCUGAUGGGAGCUUGCUCCCUGAAGUUAGCGGCGGACGGGUGAGUAACACGUGGGCAACCUGCCUGUAAGACUGGGAUAACUUCGGGAAGCCGGAGCUAAUACCGGAUACGUUCUUUUCUCGCAUGAGAGAAGAUGGAAAGAUGGUUUCGGCUAUCACUUACAGAUGGGCCCGCGGCGCAUUAGCUAGUUGGUGAGGUAAUGGCUCACCAAGGCGACGAUGCGUAGCCGACCUGAGAGGGUGAUCGGCCACACUGGGACUGAGACACGGCCCAGACUCCUACGGGAGGCAGCAGUAGGGAAUCUUCCGCAAUGGACGAAAGUCUGACGGAGCAACGCCGCGUGAACGAUGAAGGCCUUCGGGUCGUAAAGUUCUGUUGUUAGGGAAGAACAAGUACCAGAGUAACUGCUGGUACCUUGACGGUACCUAACCAGAAAGCCACGGCUAACUACGUGCCAGCCGCCGCUGUAACAC